AGAUGGCGACCGGCGCACGGGUGAGUAACACGUAUCCAACCUGCCGAUAACUCGGGGAUAGCCUUUCGAAAGAAAGAUUAAUACCCGAUGGCAUAAUAGAACCGCAUGGUUUGAUUAUUAAAGAAUUUCGGUUAUCGAUGGGGAUGCGCUCCAUUAGGCAGUUGGUGGGGUAACGGCCCACCAAACCUUCGAUGGAUAGGGGUUCUGAGAGGAAGGUCCCCCACAUUGGAACUGAGACACGGUCCAA
rnacentral:rRNA from 1 species